rnacentral:rRNA from 1 species
UGGGGAAUAUUGGGGCAAUGGGGGGCGAAAGCCUGACCCAGCGACGCCGCGUGAGGGAAGAAGGUCUUCGGAUUGUAAACCUCUUUCAGCAGGGAAGAAGAAAGUGACGGUACCUGCAGAAGAAGUCACGGCUAACUACGUGCCAGCAGCCGCGGUAAUACGUAGGUGGCGAGCGUUAUCCGGAAUUACUGGGUGUAAAGGGUGUGUAGGCGGGGCGGCAAGUCAGGCGUGAAAUUAUGGGCUCAACCCAUAAAGUGCGCUUGAAACUGUUGUUCUUGAGUGUGGGAGAGGUAAACGGAAUUCCUGGUGUAGUAGUGAAAUGCGUAGAUAUCAGGAGGAACACCGGUGGCGAAGGCGGUUUACUGGACCAUAACUGACGCUGAGACACGAAAGCGUGGGGAGCAAACAGGAUUAGAUACCCUGGUAGU